rnacentral:tRNA from 1 species
AAGGAAGUGGCAGAGUGGUUAUGUGGCUGGCUUGAAACCAGCAUAUGGGGGUUCAAUUCCUCCCUCCCUCG